rnacentral:rRNA from 1 species
UCAGGUGCCUAUAUCGGCGGUGUCCACCUCUUCCCAUUCCGAACAGAGAAGUUAAGCCCGCCAGAGCCGAUGGUACUGCGGUAACACGUGGGAGAGUAGGUCG